rnacentral:rRNA from 1 species
CGAACGCUGGCGGCGUGCCUAAUACAUGCAAGUCGAGCGACGUUUUUCUGGUGCUUGCACCGGAAAAACUUAGCGGCGAACGGGUGAGUAACACGUAAAGAACCUGCCUCAUAGACUGGGACAACUAUUGGAAACGAUAGCUAAUACCGGAUAAUAGCAUUAACUGCAUGGUUGAUGUUUAAAAGUUGGUUUUGCUAACACUAUGAGAUGGCUUUGCGGUGCAUUAGCUAGUUGGUGGGGUAAAGGCCUACCAAGGCGACGAUGCAUAGCCGACCUGAGAGGGUGAUCGGCCACACUGGGACUGAGACACGGCCCAGACUCCUACGGGAGGCAGCAGUAGGGAAUCUUCCGCAAUGGGCGAAAGCCUGACGGAGCAACGCCGCGUGAGUGAAGAAGGAUUUCGGUUCGUAAAGCUCUGUUGUUAGGGAAGAAUGAUUGUGUAGUAACUAUACACAGUAGAGACGGUACCUAACCAGAAAGCCACGGCUAACUACGUG